rnacentral:lncRNA from 1 species
UGAAUACAAUGAUUGAAUUCGAUCUUCAAUUUAAAAUAUUUACACAAGUGGAUACCACAAAAUCUUAUAUUAUACUUAAUAAAAGUAUGAAUAAACUAUUAAGUAUUAGUGAAUCUAUUGUUUUGAUGGGAUACUCAUUCUACGAAACUAGUUUCAAUGAUCCAACCGUCAAACAUAUUUAUAUAUACUUCGAGAUCGCAUACGCCAAAAAUUGCAAAAAACAAACAUUCAGAGAUUAAGUAACGGGACAAAACUUUUCGACGGUUAUAAACGAAAAAUCACGAUUUAACGGUCAUUUUAACUCCGAUUUUGAUGAUUUUUUACAACUACACUCCUUGACCCUAUAUGAAUACAAUGAUUGAUUUCGAUCUUCAAUUUAAAAUAUUUGCACUAGUGGAAACCACAAAAUCUUAUGUUAUACUUAAUAAAAGUAUGAAUAAACUCUUAAGUAUUAGUGAAUCUAUUGUUUUGAUGGGAUACUCAUUCUACGAAAUUAGUUUCAAUGAUCCAACCGUCAAACAUGUUUGUACAUAUUUCGAGAUCGCAUACGCCAAAAAUUGCAAAAAACAAACAUUCAGAGAGCAC